CAGUGAUGGCGGACGGUCGCUCAGCGUAUGCCGCAAGGCUGCGUGGAGAGGAAAGUCCGGACACCAUAAGGCAGCAUGCCGUGGAGAACACGCGGGAAACCGAGGCGAAAGCUGCGGUUGACGGAAAGUGUCACAGAAAACAAACCGCCGAUGCGCGCAAGCGUUUCGGUAAGGGUGAAAAGGCGGGGUAAGAGCCCACCGCCCCAAGCGCAAGCGAGGGGGCACGAAAAACCCCAUGUGGUGCAAGACAGAACAGGAGAGGAUCGGGUCGCCUGCCCGCUUCACUGCGCAAGCAGUGGGACUCUCCGGGUAUUGGUCGCAGCCCGCAAGGGCUGCCUCCCGCCGCAAGGUGUGGGGCAAGACAAAUGACCGUCCACGCCGGUGGCGCAAGCUAUCGGCCGGACAGAAUCCGGCUUACAGCCAUCCCCAAGCG
rnacentral:RNase_P_RNA from 1 species